rnacentral:tRNA from 1 species
AGGGUGCCGGGGCUUCUCCCGUUUUAAACGGGACGGGAGAAGC